GUUCCAUUUAGCUCAGUUGGUUAAGAGUGUGGUGCUGAUUACGCCAAGGUCAUGGGUUCAAUCCCCUUACAGACCA